rnacentral:rRNA from 1 species
UUCAUAGAGUGUAAAGGCAUAAGGGAGCUUGACUGCGAGACCUACAAGUCGAGCAGGGUCGAAAGACGGACUUAGUGAUCCGGUGGUUCCGCAUGGAAGGGCCAUCGCUCAACGGAUAAAAGCUACCCCGGGGAUAACAGGCUUAUCUCCCCCAAGAGUUCACAUCGACGGGGAGGUUUGGCACCUCGAUGUCGGCUCAUCGCAUCCUGGGGCUGUAGUCGGUCCCAAGGGUUGGGCUGUUCGCCCAUUAAAGCGGUACGCGAGCUGGGUUCAGAACGUCGUGAGACAGUUCGGUCCCUAUCCGUCGUGGGCGUAGGAAAUUUGAGAGGAGCUGUCCUUAGUACGAGAGGACCGGGAUGGACAUACCUCUGGUGUACCAGUUGUCGUGCCAACGGCAUAGCUGGGUAGCUAUGUGUGGACGGGAUAAGUGCUGAAAG